UGCUUCCUGACCCGCCUUCUCACCCCAGGACUUGCGCAAGCAGGUAGCGCCGCUGCUGAAGAGCUUCCAAGGGGAGAUUGAUGCACUGAGUAAAAGAAGCAAAGAAGCUGAGGCAGCCUUCUUGAAUGUCUACAAGAGACUGAUUGAUGUUCCAGAUCCCGUUCCGGCUCUGGACCUCGGGCAGCAGCUCCAGCUCAAAGUGCAGCGCCUACACGACAUUGAAACAGAGAACCAGAAACUUAGGGAAACUCUCGAAGAAUACAACAAGGAAUUUGCUGAAGUGAAAAAUCAAGAGGUAACGAUAAAAGCACUGAAAGAGAAAAUCCGAGAAUAUGAACAGACUCUGAAGAACCAAGCCGAGACCAUAGCUCUCGAAAAGGAACAAAAGUUACAAAAUGAUUUUGCAGAAAAGGAGAGAAAACUGCAGGAGACCCAGAUGUCCACCACCUCAAAGCUGGAAGAAGCCGAACAUAAAGUCCAGACUCUGCAAACAGCUCUGGAAAAAACUCGAACAGAAUUAUUUGACCUGAAAACCAAAUAUGAUGAAGAAAUUACCGCCAAGUAAGUCUCUGCCUGGCUCCCUCCAUCGGCAUGCACUUGGUCAGGUGUCACCCGAUUUUGCUAAUCCAUGAAAGAUUUCCCUGCUUCACCCUCCUGUUUAUUGACUUCGCAAAGCGGUACGGGGUUUCGAAGAUGCUCGGCCUCUGAGCUGCUGUGAGGAACAGGGUGUCGUUCCCGUGACUUGCUUGCAUCAGUUUAAAACCCAAGAUGCGACAGUAAGCUCUGUCUGGUGCUCUCAGCACAAGCCUUCCAACUGAAACUUUUUUUCCUUAAUUAUUGUGAAGCCUGGCCACCACUGUGCCUUUGUCUAAGAAAGUUUGAAAAAGAGUCAGUGUAGAGCAGUUGCGAUACUUGGGACGUUUUGUGGAGCUUGGUCUGUGCCAAUAGCGUCACCUUUUACCUCUGCCUUCACUCCCCCACAGGUGUACUUGUUCAAAUCCCAGCUUAUGGUGCUGGCCGUCCGUGUGCGGACACACCCAGAGGGGGCGUGUAUCUUUGGGCAGGUGUAUCACACAAGGGUCUUGUGGGGGGGAAAUCAGUGAUGCGCCGCGGGUACACUGUGGCUAGCCUACCCUCCGCGCAGAACACCAGGAAGCAAGAAAUAACGUUGACGUAAAUCAAGAAAGGUGAAGGAGCAACAGAUCAUCCCCUGACAACGCCAGGCCAGAGUUGGAACAACUUUUCCCUGUCCCGCCUCCCCCAGAAACCCAUGCGUCCCCAGCGCCCACCCCACCCCAGCCUGUCAGCUGUGUCUCCAGUGAGAAGCAUCGCCUGCUGUGCUCACACCGGGCCUCAGUGGGCGCUGGCGCGUGGGGCGGCGGCGGCGGCUCUGAGCAGCGUCGCCCUCCUCCCCGGCGCCUGCUCCGUGUGGGGCCCUGGUACUCGGCAUCCCUCAGUCCCAUCACCUUUGCCUUUGAGGUUGCUGCUGGGCCAGCUGCGCUCAGGGCACGUUGAGGGGGCAGUAGGGCGGCCCUUGACCUUUGCUCUGGGUUGUUCAGCAGCUCGAGAUCUUGAGAGCCCAGCUACCCGGGUCUGGUGGUCAGAACCAGUUUUUUUUUGUUUGUUUUUGGUUUUUUUUUUAACCUCUUUAUUGGAGUAUAACUGUUUUACAAUAGUGUGUUAGUUUCUCCUUUACAACAAAGUGAAUCAGUUAUACAUAUACAUAUGUUCCCAUAUCUCUUCCCUCUUGUGUCUCCCUCCCUCCCACCCUCCCUAUCCCACCCCUCUCAUGGUCACAAAGCACAGAGGUGAUCUCCCUGUGCUAUGCGGCAGCUUCCCACUAGCUAUCUAAUUUACAUGUGGUAGUGCAUAUAUGUCCCCGCCACUCUCUCACUUCGUCACAGCUUACCCUUCCCCCUCCCCAUGUCCUCAAGUCCAUGCUCUAGUAGGUCUGUGCAGAACCAGUUUUGAUCACGAGCAGAGAUCUUCUGCGCAAAGACUAAAACAUCCUGGUCAGUCUUGGCGACCCCGGCUGACUUGUUGGCAUGUCUAAUCCCGGGGGACCCCGCCAGAUCACUGUCCCCUCUCGGUGUGCUGAAAUGAGACUUUAGGUGGUACAGAAAGAGCCGGUUCUAAGGUCCCGUGACCGUUAAAAUUGCGCUUUGAAAACUGGUGGUUCUGGUAUUAACCCUUCCAACCCCGGGCAUCAGUGUCAAUGGGCCGGCAGGCAUGCGUCUCCGCUCUCCCCUCCGAGCCCACAGCCUGAGAGUUCCUCACCCCCCAAGACGUACCCUCCGAGGCACCACGCCAGCUGCUGUCACCCUGGGGUUCCUCGGUGUCCGUGUCCGGGUUCCCUCUUCUGCCCGCGUGUCAUCCUUGUUUUUCUACUAUUUCCUCCUGGACUUUAUUCUACUGUGUAGGUGGUUUUUCUCAGUAAACUCGAUUUUUUAAAAUUAUAAUGUUUUAGUCUGAUACAUAGCUCUAGCCUUAAGUUUAUAGCAUUUCUUUUCUAAAAGACUUUGAUCUGAAGACGCUGUGCUAAUUCCCUGAUUCAUUCACUCUUACCCACAUCAUCUUACUUGCUGACAAAAUUCUUGAUGACUUUGGGGGUGAUAAAUUGGAUGAUUUCAUUAGUUUCUGUUAAUUUAUUUUUGUUAAACCACACCUCUUUCUAAAAGGCAUAGAUACAUCUUGCAUAUCUACAGUCAACCAAAGUUGGCUUUAUUAUACACUUAAAAAAAACUUUUGUGAACCCAACCUCUAAGCCC